GGGUGAGUAACGCGUAGGUAACCUGCCUGGUAGCGGGGGAUAACUAUUGGAAACGAUAGCUAAUACCGCAUAAGAGUAGAUGUUGCAUGACAUUUGCUUAAAAGGUGCAAUUGCAUCACUACCAGAUGGACCUGCGUUGUAUUAGCUAGUUGGUGGGGUAACGGCUCACCAAGGCGACGAUACAUAGCCGACCUGAGAGGGUGAUCGGCCACACUGGGACUGAGACACGGCCCAGACUCCUACGGGAGGCAGCAGUAGGGAAUCUUCGGCAAUGGACGGAAGUCUGACCGAGCAACGCCGCGUGAGUGAAGAAGGUUUUCGGAUCGUAAAGCUCUGUUGUAAGAGAAGAACGAGUGUGAGAGUGGAAAGUUCACACUGUGACGGUAUCUUACCAGAAAGGGACGGCUAACUACGUGCCAGCAGCCGCGGUAAUACGUAGGUCCCGAGCGUUGUCCGGAUUUAUUGGGCGUAAAGCGAGCGCAGGCGGUUAGAUAAGUCUGAAGUUAAAGGCUGUGGCUUAACCAUAGUACGCUUUGGAAACUGUUUAACUUGAGUGCAAGAGGGGAGAGUGGAAUUCCAUGUGUAGCGGUGAAAUGCGUAGAUAUAUGGAGGAACACCGGU
rnacentral:rRNA from 1 species